rnacentral:lncRNA from 1 species
AAAAAUAGGGACUGGUUUCCUUCUCACUUCCUCAAUCGAGAUGUGACAUCGAUGAACAAAUCCUCACUGCAGGGAAUAGUCACACCACCCAUUGGAUGGUCGAAGCCAAAUUCUUCCUCAGCUUGACUAAGCAAGUCUUGAAAUAAAGGUUCGCUCAAGAAUGAUAUGGGGAUCAUGAAUCUCUUUUUCUGCAUCUCCCCAACAUACACAGCAAAAUGGCCCUUGGGAAUAUCUCUGGUUGCGGAAGACUUCUUGAUCAUACGAAGAAUAGCCAUGAUGAUUUAGUUUUAGUAUAGAUAAGAAAGGUAAAAGAAAUACAAAGGAACUCAAAAGCAGAGAAAGUUUUGAUGUUUGCUGAGAGCUGUUGUGGAAGAUACCACUUUGGAUGUUUAUAUAGGCAAUAUCGACUCAUUCUGAUGUAUUUUGAGUAGGAAUUUGUGGGCACCAGCAGAAGACAAUGUCACUGAAGUAUCACAUGCUCUUGCCUUCCAAGUAUUGAAAACUUUGUGGUAUUAGUUGAAGAACAAUAGGCCCUACAUUUUUUUGAAUCUUGGAAAGAAGCAUUAUUCAUUAUAGAAUUUUUGAGAAGUCAUAAAGUUCAUGAUUCUGGUGAAGAGCCAUUUGGAUUGGACAUCAGUUAAAGACGAUGAUAUAUCAGUAAUCACAUGGCCCUGCCUUCCAGCUAGUUGACAUGAGUAAUUGCUUUAGCUCAUCAGAUCAAGUUCAAUAGGUCCUGCAUAUAUUUUCCUAUAGGGAACCAAGGAUCUCUAAGAAUCAAAUCCAUAAAAAUUGCUGGUAGCCUAUGAUGCAAACUGUGUCCACUUAUAUACAAACUAUAAGAGAAAAGAAGUCAAAAAUAUGAAAGAUUUCACUGGUGGAGAGGUAUUUGUUGCACUGUUUAUUGACAAUAGCACAUGAAGCAUCACAUGGUGUUGUUGCCCAACUCAUUGUCUAAUAUAUAUGAUCUUAGCAAAUUGCUCAUGAAUAUCAUCAGACCCCAGUGUUUUUCAUGACAAGAUAGAGAACAGACUAUCUUUAGAGAUCAAAUUGAUAAUUUACUGCAAUAGUUGACAACUUGUGGGAUCAACAUUCCGGAUGAGAAUAACCCAUGGUAUUUCAAUAGUUUUUGACAAGUGUUUUCAAAUAGUAGAUAACAGAAAUGUUUAUUGACUAUCAAUAUGUCUAUGUUUUGCAUAUCCAUCAAAUUAUGAGUCAGUCAGAACCUUACUAUUGCCAGAAAUUUGAAUCCAUAUUCAAGAAAAGUAUAGAUAUUAUAUCUUAUUAAGAGUUGAUGAAUUUACAUCCAUUUUCUAUCUCAUUCAGUUAAACUCAGUAAUUUCACAUUACUGCAGAAUAUCAGAUCUAGUACAUAUUGAGUUAUUUGUACAUUGUACGACGGAUGCUGCCAAGUGCAUCUAAUUUAUUUGGAACCCCAAAGUGUAAUUAUUACCAAUAGAAUGAAUUGUGCCACUAAAGAAUGAAUUGAGAAAACCAUGAGAGUUGAGCAAAAAAUUUCUAUUGCAAUGAAUUGAUUACAUCAAUGUAUGGAAGUAAAAUGUUUCAUUACUUCAAUUACUUUUGAAGUAGAAAAAUGUGUCCUUAGUCUACCUAGUGUUUCUUAUAACUCUCAACUGUACACAGUGGAGUUCCUGGCUUACUACAACUAUACAAAAUUGAGUUAACAAAAAAAUAGGGACUGGUUUCCUUCUCACAUUCUCAAUCGAGAUGUGACAUCGAUGAACAAAUCCUCACUGCAGGGAAUAGUCACACCACCCAUUGGAUGGUCGAAGCCAAAUUCUUCCUCAGCUUGACUAAGCAAGUCUUGAAAUAAAGGUUCGCUCAAGAAUGAUAUGGGGAUCACAAAUCUCUUUUUCUGCAUCUCCCCAACAUACACAGCAAAAUGGCCCUUGGGAAUAUCUCUGGUUGCGGAAGGCUUCUUGAUCAUACGA